GCCAAUUAGCUCACAAAUAGUGCUGUCAAAUAUUCUAAUGGGUGUUCCUAGAAUGUAAGUGCUUAGGCUAUCAUUGUCCUCAUAUAGGUUGGCAUAGAACAAUCUCACUAACCGUGGAUAGAUUGGUUCAUCUAUUUGUAGUAGAGGUAGAGCUUCUAGGUGUGCAAACCAACUAAUGGGAUCUACGUCCUCUAGUUCAUCCAGAUCAACGUAUUUUCCCUUAUGGACACAUCGUGUUUCAAAUUUUGGAAAGCUAAGGGCUACCUCUUUUGAUCUAAAAAGAUCAUGGUUAUAUGAAUCUCCUUCAAUCCUUUUUCCUUUUGAUCUCUUAGGAGCCAUUUUCUAGACAAGAUGAUGAUGAAAUUGUGAAAAAUAAGCAAGAGAAAGAGAAAAGAAAAGAGGGAUUUCAAGUGUUACCUUGUGGAGAUUAUGUUGAGAGAUGGAGAGCUUGGACCACCAAGAAUCCUUCUCCAAUGCUUCUAAGAGUUAGAAUGAGGGUUAGAGGGAAUGGGAGAGGGUUUUGAGAGCUUUUU
rnacentral:lncRNA from 1 species